CAGCCGUUGGGAAAAAAAAAGACUCCAGAAGAUUUGAAAAAUGGUCCUCUGAUUGGUCCCGAGUUUAGUUCCUGGCUCUUGGAAUGAACUCUCUGUGACUCCUGCAUCGCUGGACAAUAUGCGGUAGAAGAAAGUUUUCCUGGUGGCGGUCUGUGGUAAGAAGAUGAAGUGUCCAUUGGGCUAAAUCAAAGAAGAGGAAGUACUCACUGAGAGAAAGGAGCCAAAUUUAAAAAGAACACGAAGCAUUUUCCAGGGUUUUGCCAGUUUGAAUGGUGUAUAGAAACACACUGGGUUUUCCUCGUUCGGAUAAACUCGCAAGCACAGUUGUCUUGAUGAAUCAAAGAAGGGAAUCUCUUCUGGUUCAGUUUGGAUUCUAUGGGAAGUUUCAACUUCAGAGAUUUAUAACUUUUUCAGGAGCCAAAUGUGAUGCAGAAUGAAGCAGGUUGGCUUGGUAUCUGAAUUUCAUUGCCACUGCACAUACUUCUGGCUGCAAAGGUUUUAUUGGCUCUAUAUUUAGGCUAAGUAUAGGAUAAGGUUUUGAAGAUUGCAUCAACCUAUAUUUGCUCAACAAACUAGGACUGCUGUCAAUAGAAUAAAAUA